UUUGGUUGGAUUUGGUUUUGGUUUUGUUUUUUUAGUUUUUUUUUGUUUUGUUUUGUUUUGUUUUGUUUUGUUUUUUUUGUUAUUAUUGUUGUUAUUGCUUUAAUGCUCAUUGAACUGAAGGCCCAAAAGUGACACCAGAUGGCGCCUGGCACCACAGGCAGAGCCAGCCUGAGAAAUACCCUGACUCCCAGGUCAGAGAUUUUACGCUUUAGUUGAAUGAAGAUUUCAUUAUCUUUCUAAAGUUUAAAUAAACCUUUUUACUAAUUACACUAAUUACACUAGUGUAGUUCUGAUGACAGAUGUAGAUAUGAAUAGCUCCAUACAGCUAAUAACCCCUGGGACACUUCUCUUAACUAAAUGCCAUUCUUUCCAUUCUUACAGGUGGUGAGGUCCCAGUUGAUCUAAAAGUGAAUAAAGCUCCUCUGUGGCUGACUGACCUUCCACUCAAACAUGGCUAUGUUGCAUUUUCUUAUACUGAGGUUAGAGCAGCAGCAACAUCUGAGUUAAGCUUCAGACAAACACGUUAUCCAGGUUCUUUGAAUACCAUCCAUACUUUGUUCUUAGUUGUAGAAAUAUUUAUCAUCUUUCUAACAAAAUUUUUAAUGUUUACAAAUGGAAUAGUUAUCUCAUUCUCUCAAAAAUCCACGGUAAACAUCUGCCAAAGGAAGAAUUACACACCCUUUAUCAAAGUGCCUGUAAAGAACUGAGUCUUUUAUGAAGAAGGGCCUUGAUAUUUCAGACUGAACUCAUAGUCUUCACUACAGAGCUGCUCCUCAUUCAUUAGUUACCUCUGAAUGUACCUCUCAUGGCUGCAUUGGCUGCUGUAAAACAAUUCCGGCGAGAAAGAGAGAAAAUCUUUGCUUUUACCUUCUCGUUUUCAGCCAGCUACAAAGUGGCUUCAAAGCUGAGCAAGAACUGACAAAACAUACUGAAAGGAUAUGGACAGAGGUGUCUGGUAAUGGACUAUUUCUCUCUGUCACAUUUAUUCAAACAGAUGGCAAAUACAGUUUAUGCAGAAGCAAUGCAGAUAUUGAUCUCACAGUUCCAGUGAUAUGACCCAGCAUUGUACUGGCCUUGGAGGAAAGAGAGCUUUUUUACAGAUUUUUUGUCAAACCAGUUAACAGCUAUAAAUUGCAUUUAAGCAAAACCAUUAUUCAUUACAAUUUGUCAUUUUGAAUUAAAGCCCCACAAAUACUACAAAAAAAACACCCCAAGUCCACUUCCAAAGCUGCCAUUAAACUUCUGAGAAUUCUGCUUUUCUGUGUUUUCAACUAAAGUUGGUUCAUACUGCCAGAAAAGAACAAUUAUUGAAUUUCCAUGCUGAGUUUCCUGCUGUAAGCAUGUUUGGUCAUAUAAACAAGUUAACUGAAAAAUGACCCAUGUUAAAAAGAAAAGCAGAAUCCUUUUUCUGUCCAUAUAGAUAGUCCAAGAGAAACAUCUGACCAUCUCAGAGAAUGACUGCUCCAUCCUCGCAAGAGGAGUGAUCUUUUUUUUUAAAUUUCUGCUACUUAUCUCUCCUUCAGUGCUGCUUAUGUGAAGCAAGUCAUUAAUACCAUAGAAUUAUUUUAAAGAGAUUUAGUUAUUGUUUCUUCUGAGAUUCCCAGUUUCCGGGGUGUACCUAUCUUGCUCUAGACUGUAACACUGUAUGCAGCAGGGAGUAUCUAUAUUUAGAUUUUCCAGAAACUUUCUUUUACUGAACAAACAGUGAAAGAACUCAGUUCAGAUUGGGCCUGUUCCCAAAUUCAAAGUAUCCCAAAUUUUUUACAUGGACCAGGAUGGAGGUUUGGAGGAGGUAGACAGCAUAUUGUUUAAGAUUUGCAGAAUCUAACCUUUCAAAAACAAAGCCAAACCAAAACAACAAUGAACAAAUAAAAAAAAAAGCCCCAAAACCCCAACCCAAACCAAUCAAACAAAAAAAAGUUUAUAUGUGUGUCUUUUAGGAACCUCUUUCCUCUGUCCUGUUAGAGGUUAGGAAUUACCCAUAGUUACUAACAUUAAAAUGUACUGAAAGAGACAUAUUUAUGAGAUAUCCAUCCAUAUAAUGUGAGGGUUGAUAGGUUCUUAGUCACAGAAAUGUCUGCAUAGAUUAUAAAAACCCAGAACUUGUCUGAGGCAAUGGGAAAUCACUGUCAGAGACAGACUGAAUGACCGAAGUGCCUGAUGGUUUAUCCAAGCUCCAGACCUGCAGAGCACCUUUUUAGUCACUGAGGUGCUCGAUUUCAGCUCAGCUGCCACAAGUGCACUAGCUCAGCUGAGCGGUCAGCGUGAGAGGGGAGGCUUUCGUACAGAUCUCAUUAAUUUGAAGUAAAUCUUCAUCCUCAUGUGUAUGGAGGGCUCCUAUUGUUGUCCUGUUUAUCUUUAGUGAAAGAUAAAAGUUAGUUCACUGUAGCUGUGAAACUUUUAGGUACACACCUAGCCUUAUACCUGAAUUGGCCUUUUUCUGAAGCCCAUGCUAGAGAUCUGUACCAGAAAUCAGCAUAGAGGUCCAGAAUGACUUGAACAUUUGAACAGAGAUAUUAACAGCAGUUGAUGGUUACUCUCAAAGGGAAUAUUUCAAUAAUUUAUUAGUAAGUAAGUAUUUGCAUUUUUUUUAACAAAAGCACAUUAAACAGUAUUUGCAAAUCUUUAAAACAAAAGGCACUACAUUUUUUCCCCUACUGUGCAGAAUUUUUAAGGUGCUUGUCUUGGUUUAGGGCAAAUUUGGGAGAAAAUACAAUUUUAUAUCAAAAUUACUCCAGGACACUGCUGCUGUGUGCUAUAUAAGAUUUAAUUUCAGUAAUGCUUACUGUCAUACUCUGCCAUACAAUUCCAAGUGAAUAUUUAAAUGUCUCCAGCUUAGCACAUUUAUUACUGCAUUUGUUGGCAUUCUUAGAGAGGGGAAAUGUCCACUUCUCCACACAAAUAUAUGCUUGAUUUGCCUUUCACCAACAGAAUGUAAACAUAGUCAUCGUAACAACAUGAAGGUACUGAGAAGGUAAAGAAAUAUGCUGCUAUAAGACUGUAACAAGUUUAUGUAACAAGUUUAAGUGCAUCCAAACCAACCUUCUCCACAUGAAAAAGUAUCUUGCUUAAAUUAGUGUGUCACUGUAGGUGCAUUUCUGCACUGCUUUGUUUAAUAAGAGUUAGAGCACCUCCGUACUAAAAUGAUGCCUCUACAUAGUGCAGAGCUUGUUUGCCAGGAGUUUAUUGUGUUCUGCGUGAUUGUUACCAGUUGAAGUGUUUCACUGGUGAAUCCAGUGCAUAAAUGAUGAUGUUGCAGUGGAUUGUGAUGCAAACUUAAACCUAUCUUGAUCUGGAUGUUGAAGCAGAAGUUACAAUUUCAAGGUUUUUUCAUCUUCUAUCAUUCUUUUUUCACUAGCUAGAAACUGUAAUUCUCAGCUUGUUGCAUGUUCUUGAAAGGCAAGAACAGCCUCUGAAGCAGUGGAAAAUCUUUAGCUUGGUGAAAUUAGGCAGCCUGAUGCUUUUCUGGAGUGGCAUCACACAGUGAAAAUUAGCUUAGAGACUUGCUUAGCCAGCACUGCACUGGUGGGCACCCUAACCCAGCAGGAUCAGGAAGAACAGCAGAACAGAAGGUGUAGAUGCCCCUUCUCUGGAAAUCUGCACAAAUAAGGCCCCCCAAAACCCCACCAACAUUAGCCAGCAACACAAUAGUUUUGUAACUGUAGAAAAGUCUGUGGCAGCUGCAUGUUCUCCUUUUUGCAGCUGUGUGCAGUGAAAGUAAACCAGUCUUUUGGGGCUAUUGUCAUUGAUAGCAAGUGGAAAUGAUCAGCAAAGAAGAGUUCAGGUUUGAAUUCUCUCAAGAUUGAAUAGGUGAGAUCCUUUGACAAGACUCACAUGCCAAUUAUUCUCCCCCAUCCCAGUCCAGGCUUCAUCAUCUUCAGAAGAUAUCCUACAAAUUGUGGUCAAUCCUUCUGGCAGGUUCUUUUGGUUUUGCAGAGUAGCCAAAAUCUAACCUGAAACCACUAUCAACUUUACCUCAAGACAUCUGGGCUAACUUUUAAUUAUUUGACUUAUAAAAUCAUUUUCUUGAGAGAACUCUCUAGUCCAAGUAGCUGUAAAUUUACUUAAGUGCUUGAAACACUUUUAUGACAGCUCCUUGGCACAUCCUGAGGCCUCUGAUGUCUAAAUGGUGGCAUGAGUGCUUUGCUCUGGUUUAGGGUGUUCCUCAGCUUCUCUGAUUUCUCCUGGCAGGCCUCCAUGUGAAAAGAAUCCCACUUCAUAGGCUUGGUGCAAAUGGAACAGAAAUAACCACUACACAAAGUGUUGAGAGUUCAAGAAGAACAUUCUUCUAACUUGUCCUCCAUCUGAUUUGUUUAGCUUGUUUUCCCAAAUAAAUAGCAAAGAGAGUGUGUGUGUAUCUGUAUUUAUUGCACAACUUCAGAAACAAGUACAUAGACCUCUUAGACAUUGGGCUUCUAUAUGUAUUGGGACAGUUGGCACUUUGGUAAUGGAAAUUGGGUUCUGAUGAAGGGACAAGGAUGAUAGGUACAAUGUUAGCUCAUCCCUUAUCAAACAACGGGAAUCUUCAUAGGCACAGGUUAGGACAAAUAUUUCAUCCAUGUGAAAAGUUUCUUCAGAGGUAACACCAGAAAACUGAGGCUCAAGGCAAACAGUCUUCAUCCAUUCAGUCACUAACAUUCCUUCCCCUCUCCAGAAGCUCUGAGAGAAGGGAAAAUCCCAAAGAGAAGCAUUGGCAUUGUAUGUUCAACUCUAAAGUCAGCUCUUGUACAUGUGGUACAUUAAUAUGAAGCAUAGAAGUGGCCUGUUCAGAACCACUAGGAAUAUUUGCUGUGAUCCUGUCUAUGGAAGCGUCCCUUUUAGCUGUCAGAAAAGUGAUUGGGAAGCAGUACUUGUGCAGGCAGCUCCAUAAUGACACUAUGGGAUUAUAACAGGUCCUGCAUUCAGAUGGGCUCAUUGCCUAAGCUUUAUUUACAGACUGUCAGACACUGAGUAUGUGAGAUAAUAAAUUCAAUAGUACAGUGACACAACAAGUAUUAACCAAAUUUAUCAUCUAUGCAAAUGCAAGCGUCUUACAGGAUCUAGGCAAUCUGAAAUGUCUGAAAGUUUGUGAUUCUAAAUGAGCUAUCUAUUUCACUUUACAAGCCUGAGCAUCUAGUAAAUGCUCAGAGCUGUAACCAAAUUGUGGUCUCAGUUGAUUUAUUCCAGCUCUUUUUGUUGAUGUUAAUUUGGCUUGGGUUUUUUCCCCUUUUUCCUUUCACACUACAGAUGAUUAGCUCCUGUUUUCUAUAACUUACUUUUCUCCUGAAUUUCCAGUUCUUUGCUACAUGAAAGGCUGCAUGUAGUAGGAGGUAGAAAUGGGAUGUUAACAGGACAGAGUGUUGGAAAUGUGGAGAUGUAUGUGUAUAGUUUAAUCUUUGGGUAUGAGACUGGUACUUGAGCAAGAAAGGAAAAAAAGCCUCUUUUGGUUAUUGAGUGUGGGGAUUUUAGUCUGAGUGUGAGGAUUAGAUAAUGUUUUGAAAUGCACUCUGAGUGGGAAAAAUCCGAGGACAGGGAGUGACUGGUGGAGCAAGACAGGUUAUAUUCCUGCCUCUAGGAAAGUAGUAAGUAGGAUUCAAGGCAGUGCACUACUGAUGCCUAAGUAUGAAAAGUUUGUGAACACAAGAGGAACAGCACCUGACCCAAAGCAAGUCUUUCCCAACUGUGCUUCUGGAUUAUCACUCAGGAGCAUCUUUAGUUAACUUCAGUUUGGUUGUGGCACGUCCAAAAGAACUCUUGUCUGUCCAAGGGAAGCUCAUUUUGGUUAGGAUUGGGGUUGUUUCCAAAAGCUUUCUUACAUCUUGUCAAUGAAGCUUGAGUUUCUUCUAUAUGUCACUGGCAAAAAUGAGGUGUGUCCUUCUGUAACAUGCUCACAUAUGCUGGAGAUACUAUCAGAGGGAUUUAGUUUGUUUGGGGUUUUUUCUUUAAUACACUAAAGUUAGUAGAAUUUGGAAUACUGCUGGCAUGGGGCUUUGGAAAUGCUUUUCUGCAUCUAUUAUUUUUGCACUUGUAAGACUAUACAUAGUGGUAGCUUUUGAAAAAGAUGUAAAUUUCUGCCCUUCCCAGGGAAGAAAGCCAGUGUCUCCUGAUGGGACUGUACAAAAUCAGCAAGCACAAUGGCCUGUGAACUGUUGGUGAACUCUAAGGAAGCAUUUAAACAAAACAGGAAAAGGGUCCUCAAUCACUGGGGCCAUGAGCAUGAGAAGAAAGUGCAAGUGAUGGUGUGGCCCACACCAGACUUGUAUCUUUCCUGUUUUCUCAGUUUUAGCAGUUUAAAAGGUCUAACUGUAGCCCCAAACAACUCAAGGAAGUGUAGAACCACUGGAAUGAAAACAUGUUCUUUAGGUCACCUUGAACGUGUUCUCAACAGGAGAACCAAAGACAGAUGUAAGCCAGCAAAAUAUGGCACAUAUAGGAUUCAUAUAUGUCCAGGUCACUUUAUAUGAAUUUAUAUGUAUGAGUUAUGUGUCCAUAUAAAUCUGAUUUACAUUCAUGAUAUUAAAAAUAGCUACACUGUUUUUUUUUAAAUAAUAAAUUACAGCAAUGCAAAA